UGGGGAAUAUUGCACAAUGGGCGCAAGCCUGAUGCAGCCAUGCCGCGUGUAUGAAGAAGGCCUUCGGGUUGUAAAGUACUUUCAGCGGGGAGGAAGGUGUUGUGGUUAAUAACCACAGCAAUUGACGUUACCCGCAGAAGAAGCACCGGCUAACUCCGUGCCAGCAGCCGCGGUAAUACGGAGGGUGCAAGCGGUAAUCGGAAUUACUGGGCGUAAAGCGCACGCAGGCGGUCUGUCAAGUCGGAUGUGAAAUCCCCGGGCUCAACCUGGGAACUGCAUUCGAAACUGGCAGGCUAGAGUCUUGUAGAGGGGGGUAGAAUUCCAGGUGUAGCGGUGAAAUGCGUAGAGAUCUGGAGGAAUACCGGUGGCGAAGGCGGCCCCCUGGACAAAGACUGACGCUCAGGUGCGAAAGCGUGGGGAGCAAACA
rnacentral:rRNA from 1 species